GGGCGGCAACAAAAGGAUACAUAUUGAAGUCAUGUACUUCUAAUUUUGGAAUGAAAGGUUUGUAUCACUUUUAUACAAUAGCAACGUUUUAGCUAUAUAAAUAUAUACAUAUGCUGCAAAUGAAUGUUGAAGGCAGCAACGUACUACUGAUUUAAUAUGCAGCAUUUUUUGACGUUGGAAUUUAUAGAAGAAAUGUAUAAUUUUCAUCAAGAACAAUAUUCGGUUUUGAGCGCCGUUGCGAUUUCGUUGUUCCGUUUUGUCGAGAUUGGAUCCGGACUUUUAUUCAAAGUGAAGUAAGGUGGAAAAAAGAAUACUUCUUGGCAUAUAAGAUUGGGAAGCCCGGGAUCUGGUUUGUGGUAAGCUUGGCUACGGUUGAUCUACGACAGGUACAGAUAGUCGGUUUGGUGACCCCUCAGCAUAGGACUUUUACUCAGCUGUUUUGGAGAGCUCCGUUGUUCCGGAGUCUAGACUUUUGGUUCAGGUCUUAUGAUGUAUAUGUAUAUGUUUAUCCAGGGGUACGGCGGGGCCUUGUCCCGUCAUAUUUCGCUAUCGAUACUCUUAGAGGUCUGUAGACAUAUGUGUGGGUUGUGUAUAAGUUCUGUUCAGCUGUGUCUAAACGAUGUGCUAUGAAUAUGCUCGUCUGUAAUGGCAGCCUUGUCGGCUUGCAUAUGAUAUGAUAUUGAUGUGUA